UACUAUCCAGCGAAACCACAGC
rnacentral:snRNA from 1 species